GAAAGAGAAGACCUGUACUUUUAACAACCUUCCAUGGACGGUAAAAGACUGCAACGUCACGAGCGGUCAAUGGACCAUUAACUGCAUGAAGGGCUCUUGGACAGAAGGUGUUUGCAAAUGUUACUGCGAGUUUCAAAAGCACUGACGAUGGCGGCACUUCCGGGUUACUGAAAUUGCCUUAGUCGUACAAUGCAUUGGAGGCCUACCUAUCAAACGCUUACUAAAUACUCUACUGGACGAACUACACUUUGAAACCGAAAAUAAAUUUUUGUUCUGAAGAAA